AUAUCUUUCUUGGUCUUUUGGCUAAGAUAAGGUGUAAUAUUUGUUCUUAAUUUAAUAUAUGAUAUGCGGACCAUAUGUUCACUUUGAUAUUAAAUUUAUUUUUAUAGGUACAAAUUUUGAUGGUGUGCUAUCGCAACUCAUGGGCAUUGUGACAAGUGUUUGUAUGUUAAUGACAGUCCAACCUUU
rnacentral:snRNA from 1 species